AUCGCCCCUAGAGGCAUUACAGAUGUGGCUGCUAUGUCACAUAUGUGUCAGUAGGUGGCAGAGUAGAGAAAGCCUAUGUCUAUGCUUAAUGUUCUGGCCUAGGACCAGAUGAACCAGAGACUACUACC